rnacentral:rRNA from 1 species
AUGAACGCUGGCGGCGUGCCUAAUACAUGCCAGUCGAGCGAACAGAUGAGGAGCUUGCUCCUCUGACGUUAGCGGCGGCCGGGUGAGUAACACGUGGAUAACCUACCUAUAAGACUGGGAUAACUUCGGGAAACCGGAGCUAAUACCGGAUAAUAUAUUGAACCGCAUGGUUCAAUAGUGAAAGACGGUUUUGCUGUCACUUAUAGAUGGAUCCGCGCCGCAUUAGCUAGUUGGUAAGGUAACGGCUUACCAAGGCAACGAUGCGUAGCCGACCUGAGAGGGUGAUCGGCCACACUGGAACUGAGACACGGUCCAGACUCCUACGGGAGGCAGCAGUAGGGAAUCUUCCGCAAUGGGCGAAAGCCUGACGGAGCAACGCCGCGUGAGUGAUGAAGGUCUUCGGAUCGUAAAACUCUGUUAUUAGGGAAGAACAAAUGUGUAAGUAACUAUGCACGUCUUGACGGUACCUAAUCAGAAAGCCACGGCUAACUACGUG